UGACAAAUAAAAUAUGAUACUUAUAUAAAUUCAUGAUUGGAUGAAUGUUUCUACAAACUACCGUAAUAGUUUUGCUAUAAGUUUUUGAAAAAAACGG
rnacentral:ncRNA from 2 species